AUUUAGCCAUGCUAGUUGCACGAGUUUAGACUCGUAGCAUAUAGCUCAGUAACACGUGGCCAAACUACCCUACAGACCGCGAUAACCUCGGGAAACUGAGGCCAAUAGCGGAUAUCACUCUCAUGCUGGAGUGCCGAGAGUGAGAAACGUCCCGGCGCUGUAGGAUGUGGCUGCGGCCGAUUAGGUAGAUGGUGGGGUAACGGCCCACCAUGCCGAUAAUCGGUACAGGUUGUGAGAGCAAGAGCCUGGAGACGGUAUCUGAGACAAGAUACCGGGCCCUACGGGGCGCAGCAGGCGCGAAACCUUUACACUGCACGACAGUGCGAUAGGGGGACUCCGAGUGUGAGGGCAUAUAGCCCUCGCUUUUCUGAACCGUAAGGUGGUUCAGGAACAAGGACUGGGCAAGACCGGUGCCAGCCGCCGCGGUAAUACCGGCAGUCCGAGUGAUGGCCGAUAUUAUUGGGCCUAAAGCGUCCGUAGCUUGCUGUGUAAGUCCAUUGGGAAAUCGACCAGCUCAACUGGUCGGCGUCCGGUGGAAACUACACAGCUUGGGGCCGAGAGACUCAACGGGUACGUCCGGGGUAGGAGUGAAAUCCUGUAAUCCUGGACGGACCACCAAUGGGGAAACCACGCUGAGAGACCGGACCCGACAGUGAGGGACGAAAGCCAGGGUCUCGAACCG
rnacentral:rRNA from 1 species